rnacentral:rRNA from 1 species
UACGUAGGGUGCGAGCGUUGUCCGGAAUUACUGGGCGUAAAGAGCUCGUAGGCGGUCUGUUGCGUCUGCUGUGAAAACCCGGGGCUUAACCCCUGGCUUGCAGUGGAUACGGACAGACUAGAGGUAGGUAGGGGAGAAUGGAAUUCCCGGUGUAGCGGUGAAAUGCGCAGAUAUCGGGAGGAACACCGGUGGCGAAGGCGGUUCUCUGGGCCUUACCUGACGCUGAGGAGCGAAAGCGUGGGGAGCGAACAGG